UACGUAGGGUGCGAGCGUUGUCCGGAAUUAUUGGGCGUAAAGAGCUCGUAGGCGGUCUGUCGCGUCGGUCGUGAAAACUUGGGGCUUAACCCUGAGCUUGCGGUCGAUACGGGCAUGACUGGAGUUCGGUAGGGGAGACUGGAAUUCCUGGUGUAGCGGUGAAAUGCGCAGAUAUCAGGAGGAACACCGGUGGCGAAGGCGGUUCUCUGGGCAUGACCUGACGCUGAGGAGCGAAAGUGUGGGGAGCGAACAGG
rnacentral:rRNA from 1 species